AGCUCGAGGAAACUCGAAUUAAUUCCCCAUAGUACAUUAUAAUAUCUCAUGAUAUAAUUGUUAAAGAUUUAUCGGUUAAAGAUGGGCAUGCGUCUGAUUAGUUUGUUGGUAAGGUAACGGCUUACCAAGACUACGAUCAGUAGGGGGUCUGAGAGGAUGAUCCCCCACACUGGUACUGAGACACGGACCAGACAUCUACGGAUGGCAGCAGUAAGGAAUAUUGGGCAAUGGGCGCAAGCCUGACCCAGCCAUGCCGCGUGCAGGAUGACGACCCUAUGGGUUGUAAACUGCUUUUAUAUAGGAAGAAAAUACUCUUGCGAGAGGAUCUGACGGUACUAUAUGAAUAAGGACCGGCUAACUCCGUGCCAGCAGCCGCGGUAAUACGGAGGGUUCAAGCGUUUUCCGGAUUUAUUGGGUUUAAAGAGUGCGUAGGUGGUUUAUUAAGUCAGUGGUGAAAUCCUGCAGCUCAACUGUAGAACUGCCAUUGAUACUGGUAAACUUG
rnacentral:rRNA from 1 species